rnacentral:rRNA from 1 species
AACUCGACGCAUCGCUCCAAGACUGCCUUACGCGCGGAUGGAUGUCAUGUCUGUGCGAAUGUUUCCGCAAUUGUUGGGACCUCCUGACAGAACAAUCUUUACGUGAGGGAUGACCGCCUAUGGGUUGUAAACAUCUUUUUUCAGGGAGGAACCCCAUGGCGUGUACCUCCCCAAUGCUCCUCCGCUAACUCCUUGGCACCGGCCCCCAUAUCACGGGUGAUGCAUCUGUUAUCCGGAAUCAAUGGGGAUAAACCGCCUGUUGGUGGUUUAAUACGUCAACUGUUAAAUCUUGAACCUCCUCUUCUUUAUCGCAAAAAAUCCUAUUAAACCGGGAUGGGUAGUUGGAA